rnacentral:rRNA from 1 species
UACGGAGGGGGCGAGCGUUAUUCGGAAUUAUUGGGCGUAAAGGGCGCGUAGGCGGCUCUAUAAGUCAAAGGUGAAAUCCCUCGGCUCAACUGAGGAACUGCCUUUGAAACUGUUGGGCUUGAGGCCGGGAGAGGGUAGUGGAAUUCCCGAGUGUAGCGGUGAAAUGCGUAGAUACUGGGAGGAACACCAGUGGCGAAGGCGGCUACCUGGGUCAAUACUGGACGCUCAUGCACGAAAGCGUGGGGAGCAAACAGG